rnacentral:rRNA from 1 species
GAUGAACGCUGGCGGCGUGCCUAAUACAUGCAAGUCGAGCGAACGGACGAGAAGCUUGCUUUUCUGAUGUUAGCGGCGGACGGGUGAGUAACACGUGGAUAACCUACCUAUAAGACUGGGAUAACUUCGGGAAACCGGAGCUAACACCGGAUAAUAUUUUGAACCGCAUGGUUCAAAAGUGAAAGACGGUCUUGCUGUCACUUCUAGAUGGAUCCGCGCUGCAUUAGCUAGUUGGUAAGGUAACGGCUUACCAAGGCGACGAUGCAUAGCCGACCUGAGAGGGUGAUCGGCCACACUGGAACUGAGACACGGUCCAGACUCCUACGGGAGGCAGCAGUAGGGAAUCUUCCGCAAUGGGCGAAAGCCUGACGGAGCAACGCCGCGUGAGUGAUGAAGGUCUUCGGAUCGUAAAACUCUGUUAUUAGGGAAGAACAUAUGUGUAAGUAACUGUGCACAGCUUGACGGUACCUAAUCAGAAAGCCACGGCUAACUACGUG